AAAAGGUGCCUUUUGGAUUAGGAGUUUUUUAAAAGUAUAAGUAUUAUAAAAAAGAAAGGCUUUGAUUUUUUUAAAGUCUGCGUAAAAGGCAUCCUCAAAAAACUAAAGAUAACUAAAAAAUGCUGGGUAUCUUUGUUAUAAUUAAAGUGAGGUUUCUUGUACACCUAUACGAUUUACUAAAGAACUAAGUAUUUAAGAAGUAAAGACAAUCUUAGACUGAUGCUUUUCUCAAAUGUUUUUCAAAAACAUUUCUAUUUUUUUAAGUAGUAUACACUGCAAUCUGGUUUUUAGAAGAGCAGGUUUCCUCUAUGGUAGCAAAAUAAUUUGGCCUUUAAAUAGGGUCUAGUAUAAAAGUGAUGUUGAGAAAUUAAUAUAAUUUUAUUUAUUUUUGAAAUAAAGAGUCAAAAUUCUCUUUUAGUUAAACACCACGAUAAGACCCUAAAACCUUUACAUUUCCUUGGGAAAGAAAAUUAAAAAAAUUUUUAACCCUUUCAGACACAGGUACUUUAGGGAUAACAGCAGUAAGUUUGUAAAAAUUUACAAAAAUAGCUGACCUCGAUGUUGGAUCUAACUAAUUAUAUAGUAUAUAAGGAUUGUUCAUCCUAAUAAGUUGACGUGAUCUGAGUUCAGAACGUCGUGAGAUAGUUCAGCUUUUCUGGGUUUAGGGUGCAAUCAAUUUUUUAGUACGAAAGGACUAAAAAUUGAUU
rnacentral:rRNA from 1 species